GACGAACGCUGGCGGCGUGCUUAACACAUGCAAGUCGAACGGGAUUUAGUAGACAGAAGCCUCGGCUAAAGAUUACUAAUGAGAGUGGCGAACGGGUGAGUAACGCGUGAGCAACCUGCCUAUGACAGUGGGAUAGCCUCGGGAAACCGGGAUUAAUACCGCAUAAAAUCGUAGAAACACAUGUUUCAACGGUCAAAGAUUUAUCGGUCAUAGAUGGGCUCGCGUCUGAUUAGCUAGUUGGUGAGAUAACAGCCCACCAAGGCGACGAUCAGUAGCCGGUCUGAGAGGAUGAACGGCCACAUUGGAACUGAGACACGGUCCAAACUCCUACGGGAGGCAGCAGUGGGGAAUAUUGCACAAUGGGGGAAACCCUGAUGCAGCGACGCCGCGUGAACGAAGAAGGUAUUCGUAUCGUAAAGUUCUGUCCUAUGGGAAGAUAAUGACAGUACCAUAGAAGAAAGCUCCGGCUAAAUAC
rnacentral:rRNA from 1 species